rnacentral:rRNA from 1 species
CCUACGAGAGGCAGCAGUGAGGAAUAUUGGUCAAUGGACGAGAGUCUAAACCAGCCAAGUAGCGUGAAGGAUGACUGCCCUAUUGGUUGUAAACUUCUUUUAUAAAGGAAUAAAACGAGGCAAGUGUGCCUUUUUGCAUGUACUUUAUGAAUAAGGAUCUGCUAACUCAGUGCCAGCAGCCGCUGUAAUACGGCGGAUCCGAGCGUUAUCCGGAUUUAUUGGGUUUAAAGGGAGCGUAGGAGGGUUGUUAAGUAAGUUGUGAAAGUUUGCGGCUCAACCGUAAAAUUGCAAUUGAUACUGGCAGUCUUGAGUACAGUUGAGGUAGGCGGAAUUCAUGGUGUAGCGGUGAAAUGCUUAGAUAUCACGAAGAACCCCGAUGGCGAAGGCAGCUUACUAAACUGUGGCUGACAUUGAUGCUCGAAAGUGUGGGUAUCAAACAGGAUUAGAUACCCCAGUAGUC